CGUGCUAAUCUGCGAUAAGCGCCGGUAAGGUGAUAUGAACCGUUAUAACCGGCGAUUUCCGAAUGGGGAAACCCAGUGUGAUUCGUCACACUAUCAUUAACUGAAUCCAUAGGUUAAUGAGGCGAACCGGGGGAACUGAAACAUCUAAGUACCCCGAGGAAAAGAAAUCAACCGAGAUUCCCCCAGUAGCGGCGAGCGAACGGGGAGGAGCCCAGAGCCUGAAUCAGCAUGUGUGUUAGUGGAAGCGUCUGGAAAGGCGCGCGAUACAGGGUGACAGCCCCGUACACAAAAGCGCAUGUGCUGUGAGCUCGAUGAGUAGGGCGGGACACGUGGUAUCCUGUCUGAAUAUGGGGGGACCAUCCUCCAAGGCUAAAUACUCCUGACUGACCGAUAGUGAACCAGUACCGUGAGGGAAAGGCGAAAAGAACCCCGGCGAGGGGAGUGAAAAAGAACCUGAAACCGU
rnacentral:rRNA from 2 species